UACGUAGGUGGCAAGCGUUGUCCGGAAUUAUUGGGCGUAAAGCGCGCGCAGGCGGCCUCUUAAGUCUGAUGUGAAAGCCCCCCGGCUCAACCGGGGAGGGCCAUUGGAAACUUGGGGAGGCUUGAGUAUAGGAGAGAAGAGUGGAAUUCCACGUGUAGCGGUGAAUGCGUAGAGAUGUGGAGGAACACCAGUGGCGAAGGCGACUCUUUGGCCUAUAACUGACUCUGAGGCGCGAAAGCGUGGGGAGCAAACAGG
rnacentral:rRNA from 1 species